rnacentral:rRNA from 1 species
GGCGUAAAGGGCUCGCAGGCGGUUUCUUAAGUCUGAUGUGAAAGCCCCCGGCUCAACCGGGGAGGGUCAUUGGAAACUGGGGAACUUGAGUGCAGAAGAGGAGAGUGGAAUUCCACGUGUAGCGGUGAAAUGCGUAGAGAUGUGGAGGAACACCAGUGGCGAAGGCGACUCUCUGGUCUGUAACUGACGCUGAGGAGCGAAAGCGUGGGGAGCGAACAGGAUUAGAUACCCUGGUAGUCCACGCCGUAAACGAUGAGUGCUAAGUGUUAGGGGGUUUCCGCCCCUUAGUGCUGCAGCUAACGCAUUAAGCACUCCGCCUGGGGAGUACGGUCGCAAGACUGAAACUCAAAGGAAUUGACGGGGGCCCGCACAAGCGGUGGAGCAUGUGGUUUAAUUCGAAGCAACGCGAAGAACCUUACCAGGUCUUGACAUCCUCUGACAAUCCUAGAGAUAGGACGUCCCCUUCGGGGGCAGAGUGACAGGUGGUGCAUGGUUGUCGUCAGCUCGUGUCGUGAGAUGUUGGGUUAAGUCCCGCAACGAGCGCAACCCUUGAUCUUAGUUGCCAGCAUUCAGUUGGGCACUCUAAGGUGACUGCCGGUGACAAACCGGAGGAAGGUGGGGAUGACGUCAAAUCAUCAUGCCCCUUAUGACCUGGGCUACACACGUGCUACAAUGGACAGAACAAAGGGCAGCGAAACCGCGAGGUUAAGCCAAUCCCACAAAUCUGUUCUCAGUUCGGAUCGCAGUCUGCAACUCGACUGCGUGAAGCUGGAAUCGCUAGUAAUCGCGGAUCAGCAUGCSGCGGUGAAUACGUUCCCGGGCCUUGUACACACCGCCCGUCACAMCACGAGAGUUUGUAACACCCGAAGUCGGUGAGGUAACCUUUAUGGAGCCAGCCGCCGAAG